rnacentral:rRNA from 1 species
AGAGUUUGAUCCUGGCUCAGGACGAACGCUGGCGGCGUGCUUAACACAUGCAAGUCGAACGGAAAGGCCCUUCGGGGUACUCGAGUGGCGAACGGGUGAGUAACACGUGGGUGAUCUGCCCUGCACUUUGGGAUAAGCCUGGGAAACUGGGUCUAAUACCGAAUAGGACCGCGCUCUUCAUGGGGUGUGGUGGAAAGCUUUUGCGGUGUGGGAUGGGCCCGCGGCCUAUCAGCUUGUUGGUGGGGUAAUGGCCUACCAAGGCGACGACGGGUAGCCGGCCUGAGAGGGUGACCGGCCACACUGGGACUGAGAUACGGCCCAGACUCCUACGGGAGGCAGCAGUGGGGAAUAUUGCACAAUGGGCGCAAGCCUGAUGCAGCGACGCCGCGUGAGGGAUGACGGCCUUCGGGUUGUAAACCUCUUUCAAUAGGGACGAAGCGCAAGUGACGGUACCUAUAGAAGAAGGACCGGCCAACUACGUGCCAGCAGCCGCGGUAAUACGUAGGGUCCGAGCGUUGUCCGGAAUUACUGGGCGUAAAGAGCUCGUAGGUGGUUUGUCGCGUUGUUCGUGAAAACUCACAGCUUAACUGUGGGCGUGCGGGCGAUACGGGCAGACUAGAGUACUGCAGGGGAGACUGGAAUUCCUGGUGUAGCGGUGGAAUGCGCAGAUAUCAGGAGGAACACCGGUGGCGAAGGCGGGUCUCUGGGCAGCAACUGACGCUGAGGAGCGAAAGCGUGGGGAGCGAACAGGAUUAGAUACCCUGGUAGUCCAA